rnacentral:rRNA from 1 species
CCUACGGGUGGCAGCAGUGAGGAAUAUUGGUCAAUGGACGCGAGUCUGAACCAGCCAAGUAGCGUGAAGGAUGACUGCCCUAUGGGUUGUAAACUUCUUUUAUAUGGGAAUAAACUGUUCCACGAGUGGGCUUUUGUAUGUACCAUAUGAAUAAGGAUAGGCUAACUCCGUGCCAGCCGCCGCGGUAAUACGGAGGAUCCGAGCGUUCUCCGGAUUUAUUGGGGUUAAAGGGAGCGUAGGUGGGUUGUUAAGUCAGUUGUGAAAGUUUGCGGCUCAACCUUAGAAUUGCAUUUGAAACUGGCAGUCUAGAGUACAGUAGGGGUGGGCGGAAUUCGUGGUGUAGCGGUGAAAUGCUUAGAGAUCACGAAGAACUCCGAUUGCGAAGGCAGCUCACUGGAC